rnacentral:tRNA from 1 species
AGUCCCGUGGUGUAGUGGCCAAUCAUGAGGGCCUUUGGACGCGACGCGGCACCGCCGCGUGCGGGAGACAGCCCUCGACGGCGGUUCGAAUCCGCCCGGGACUA